AGAUCCCCGUAGGAUAAGGGUUAAGCCUACUGGUGCGGAUGGGAUAACUCCCGCCUGGUUUCCAAUUUCCAGUAAAAGAAUUGGUGGCGAGCCUGCAA
rnacentral:ncRNA from 1 species